AUGUCGGAGUUAGGUAGUUGUGGGAAUGAUUCGAUGGAAGGAUCCAACAGAGAUGACCGGCAUGCGGAGAUGCAGCCGGCUGACAUAGUGCAAGCCACAUUCAGUGCUGAUGAUGGGGAUCCACCGGCUGCUACAUCAAGGAUCUCUGUCAAGCAUGCAGUUGUGGUCAUACAGAAGUUCUCUGACUAUAAGAGGUGGCUUGUGGAGGAGAUUGGUUUUGGAGGAAUGCUCAAGUUACCACUUCUGCAUAAGUUGAAUCUAAAGUACAGUGCAUGGCUAAUGAGAAAGGCUGAAGAUGUGCACAAGGUGUUUGGGAUUCCAUGUGGGAAGCGAAAAGUUAUUGGUCGUGAUGCCGUGAUCAACCCCGAUGCCAUAAAGUUCAUCAAGAAUACUAUUGGCAUGAAUCGUACUGGCGUCCAUAGUUUGCGUGCAGUAGAGGAAUUCCUUCUCAGGGACAUCACGGAAGAAUCAUCGAAGCUGGAGAAGGACUGCUUCCAAAUUGCAUUUGUUAUUUUUGUGAUGGGUCUUGUUCUUGUGCCUAAGACGAAGUACGACUAUGCAACUAUUGAUUUUUGGGGAGCCCUGGCCAGUACAGAAAACAUUGCACAGUUUAACUGGUGCCAGUAUGUGCUAGACGCUUUGCUGGAUGCUGUGAGGAAGCUCAAGAGGGACAUUAUCUUGAAUAACUUAAACACGAACCUUACAGGAUGUCAUCUUUUCUAUCAGAUUUUCACCCUUGAUAGCCUGCACCUUGGUACGUUCAACAAGAAGCACGAUGUAUUUCCUCGUAUAAGUGAUUUUGACGCCGAUUGCCUUCGAAAUAUGAUCAUCAUGGCAACUGAUCCAAUAAAGUCGGCAAAUUCGUGGUCGUAUGCACCUGUUGCAGAUGAGAUAUCACUUCUACUGAAGAAGCACAAUACCAGAGCUUUGCUUCAUCUAGCAAACGCAAGGCAGAGCAUCAUGAAAGACAUGCUGAAGUUAGCAGAUGAUCUGUACUCAUCGCUGAGCCGACGUUGUGUCUGUUGCCCUGCCAGGGGUUUUGCAGACUGUCCGUUAGGAGGUACAGUGAGCAAUCAUGUGCGAGAGCAGUUCAGCACCCCCGUAACAAGCAAAAUCGAUGGCCGAAGGCUGGACCUAUCAGGGUGUGGAGCAAAAACCCCAGCAGAUGAAGGCAGCGCUGGUGCUAAACGCAGCGCCCAGCCCCUGUGUCGUGCUGAUACAGUGAAGCGAGUGCAUGUUGAUUUGGCUAUCCCGCACGAGAUCGUAGUGGAGGUCACUGAGUUCUGCAAGUCCACUUUCAGGGCAAUCGCUGAGAUGUAUGCGGACCUGCCCUCUAAUUUUACAGCAGUAGUUUUUGGUCAGAGCAACAAAACCCUGCCUAAACAGAAAUACAUCUUUCAACAUGGGUACGCGACUGAUCCGUGGGGGCGUGGGUGUGUGCCGUACCCGCCACUGCCGGAUGUAGCCGAGCAAAUUGAGCACUACUUCAACAAUGCGCAGCCCGGAGUGCUCUCAAGUUUGUUCAUCAUCCAUGAUUCUCCACGGUACAUUAGAGUUACUGGUCUAGCACUAAAGCAGCAGCUCGUGGGGGAAAGGUUGCUAGACCAUGAGCUAAUGUGUAUUAUCCUCCGGCGGUUUAUGCAAGCACAUGCAGAAUGUAAUCGGGAUUCCCCAUAUCUCAGUUGGCGGCACAGCCUUGAAGCAGAUUUAUCGACCCUUGCGCUAUCCUAUCAUGACUACACGUACUCGAUUUCCAUUCAGAAACAGCUAACUGGUGAAUGCCACCCGUAUGAUAUCACGACAGCUCAAAUGUUUCUGUUGCCGGUGCCAUUACAAGAUGGGUGGUUACUCAUGAUGUGGGACAUGAUUGCCAAGAUUAUCCAUGUACUUGACCCUCUUGUUCAGCGCCACAGCACCAACCCAGUAGUGAAGGUACGUCAGGAGUUGGUAGAACGGAAGCUUCACAAUGCUUUAUUCAACUGCCUGAAUGAGUAUUAUGCUGGGUGGCCUGUCGUGGAAGACAAUUGGAGAACUGUCUUCCCUGCUCUCACGGACACCAAUUUCUGCAAGGAGGAAUCUGGAAUUGCCGUAGUUCACAUUGCACGGCACUAUGAUGGCAGAAAGAUGAUGCUGCCACUAACGAAGCCCAACCUAGCAAAAACCAAGAAGCAAGCUCUGUUUGAGUGCUUGAAGCUUCAGGGAAACCAGACAUCCAAAGCUGGAGAUGCAUUGUGGGCAGCACUAGCUCCCAGUGAUUCAUGCUUCGGCUCCUACUCCGAGACCUAG
rnacentral:rRNA from 1 species